rnacentral:rRNA from 2 species
CCCAAGCCAAACGCGAAGAACCUUACCAGGCCGCCUAGGAAUCUGCCUGGUAGUGGGGGACAACGUUUCGAAAGGAACGCUAAUACCGCAUACGUCCUACGGGAGAAAGCAGGGGACCUUCGGGCCUUGCGAAUAUCAGAUGAAGCCUAGGUCGGGAUUAGCUAGCUUGGUGAGGUAAUGGCUCACGCAAGGCGACGUCCGUAACUGGUCUGAGAGGAUGAUCAGUCACACUGGAACUGAGACACGGUCCAGACUCAAUACGGGAGGCAGCAGUGGGAAGAAUAUUGGACAAUGGGCGAAAGCCUGAUCCAGCCAUGCCGCGUGUGUGAAGAAGGUCUUGGAUGUAAAGCACUUUAUUGGGAGGAAGGGUUGUAGAUAAUACUCUGCAAUUUUGACGUUACCGACAGAAUAAGCACGGCUAACUCUGUGCCAGCAGCCGCGGUAAUACAGAGGGUGCAAGCGUUAAUCGGAAUUACUGGCGUAAAGCGCGGUAGGUGGUUUGUUAAGUUGGAUGUGA